rnacentral:tRNA from 1 species
AUUUAUGUAGUUUAAUUAAAACAUUACAUUUUCACUGUAAAAAUAAAUUAUAUUUCAUAAAUA